rnacentral:rRNA from 1 species
GGGCCCGCACAAGCGGUGGAGCAUGUGGUUUAAUUCGAUGAUACGCGAGGAACCUUACCAGGGUUUAAAUGUAGAAUGACCGGGGUGGAAACACCCCUUUCUUCGGACAGACUACAAGGUGCUGCAUGGUUGUCGUCAGCUCGUGCUGUGAAGUGUCGGGUUAAGUCCCAUAACGAGCGCAACCCCCAUUUCUAGUUGCCAGCGGUUCGGCCGGGGACUCUAGAGAAACUGCCAGCGUAAGCUGUGAGGAAGGUGGGGAUGACGUCAAAUCAUCACGGCCCUUACAUCCUGGGCCACACACGUGCUACAAUGGUAGGGACAGAGAGCAGCCACUUCGCAAGAAGGAG